AAAAAGAUAAACUCUGGGUUUCCGUGUCCAACGUUUGACUGUCCGUCUUAUAUGAAAUUUUUUUAUAAUUAGUAUUUUCAUUGUUGUUAGAUGAUAAAACAUGAUUAAUACUUUUUGCGUGACUUGUCUUUUUAAUUUUUUUCAUAAUUUUUUCAAAUAAGACGGACGGUCAAAUGUUGGACACGGAAGCCUAGAGUUUGUCUUUUU
rnacentral:pre_miRNA from 1 species